GAUGAACGCUGGCGGCGUGCCUAACACAUGCAAGUCGAACGGAGUUAUGAUGUGAGCGGGAAGUGCUUGCACUAAACAAUCUUUUCAUAACUUAGUGGCGGACGGGUGAGUAACGCGUGGGUAACCUGCCCUGUACUGGGGGACAACAGUUGGAAACGACUGCUAAUACCGCAUAAGCGCACGGGAUCGCAUGAUCUAGUGUGAAAAACUCCGGUGGUACAGGAUGGACCCGCGUCUGAUUAGCUGGUUGGUGAGGUAACGGCCCACCAAGGCAACGAUCAGUAGCCGGCCUGAGAGGGUGAACGGCCACAUUGGGACUGAGACACGGCCCAGACUCCUACGGGAGGCAGCAGUGGGGAAUAUUGCACAAUGGAGGAAACUCUGAUGCAGCGACGCCGCGUGAGUGAAGAAGUAGUUCGCUAUGUAAAGCUCUAUCAGCAGGGAAGAUAGUGACGGUACCUGACUAAGAAGCU
rnacentral:rRNA from 1 species